CUGGUGUCUUGUGUUGAUUGGAUGCAUCAGUCUUGUUGUAUCUAUCUAUCAAAUUCUUGUCAUUAGCUAUAACAUCAUAUGAGCAGUCACCUCAUAUUGUGUGUCCUGGAGAUAAAGUAGUGUUUACUUGUGUGGCUGUUGGUCAUGGAGCUAGAUGGAGAUUAAAUGGAAAUGAACCAAGUGUCCUUUUUGCAGGGACUUCACCUUCUGAAACACUUGGAAGUUUUUUACUUGAAGUAGCACAGUAUAAUAUUGUUACAGGAGAGAUAGUUAGCACAGCAACUAAUGAGACUUCUCCAUUAAUACUAAAUGAAACUAGCAUUGGUUGUUCUGGAGAUGAAAGAGGAACAUAUCAGGAGAAAUACAUUAAUUUUGCAGGACUACCUCCAGCAAUUAGUAACAUAAAUAUUGGAGCAAAUCAUAAUAAUUCAUUAUUUAUCAAUUGGACAUCUUCAGGAUUGUGUGUAGAUCAUUAUACUGUUGCUAAAAUUAGUAACAAUACUGAUGAAACCAAUUUUACUACUAACAACACUAAUAUAACAAUUACUGAUCUUAUUAUUGGUACUAAUUAUUCAUUUAUUAUUAUUCCUAUUGAUACUAUUGGAAGAGAAGGACCUCCUUC